GGUCUUGGGCGGGGCCCAUGUUUGUCAACUCUAUUCUGUAGCGAGAUCAGACAUGGACUCCACCUCGGAUC
rnacentral:pre_miRNA from 1 species